GCCGCGUGCAGGAUGAAGGCCUUCGGAUUGUAAACUGCUUUUGUACGGAACGAAACGGUUCGCCUUAAUACGGCGGGCUAAUGACGGUACCGUAAGAAUAAGCACCGGCUAACUACGUGCCAGCAGCCGCGGUAAUACGUAGGGUGCGAGCGUUAAUCGGAAUUACUGGGCGUAAAGCGUGCGCAGGCGGUUAUAUAAGACAGAUGUGAAAUCCCCGGGCUCAACCUGGGACCUGCAUUUGUGACUGUAUAGCUAGAGUACGGUAGAGGGGGAUGGAAUUCCGCGUGUAGCAGUGAAAUGCGUAGAUAUGCGGAGGAACACCGAUGGCGAAGGCAAUCCCCUGGACCUGUACUGACGCUCAUGCACGAAAGCGUGGGGAGCAAACAGGAUUAGAUACCCUGGUAGUCCACGCCCUAAACGAUGUCAACUGGUUGUUGGGUCUUCACUGACUCAGUAACGAAGCUAACGCGUGAAGUUGACCGCCUGGGGAGUACGGCCGCAAGGUUG
rnacentral:rRNA from 1 species